rnacentral:rRNA from 1 species
AUUGCUGGCGACCGGCGCACGGGUGAGUAACACGUAUCCAACCUGCCCUUUACUCGGGGAUAGCCUUUCGAAAGAAAGAUUAAUACCCGAUAGCAUAAUGAUUCCGCAUGGUUUCAUUAUUAAAGGAUUCCGGUAAAGGAUGGGGAUGCGUUCCAUUAGGUUGUUGGUGAGGUAACGGCUCACCAAACCUUCGAUGGAUAGGGGUUCUGAGAGGAAGGUCCCCCACAUUGGAACUGAGACACGGUCCAA